rnacentral:tRNA from 2 species
GGAGAGGUGGCAGAGUGGUCGAAUGCACCGGAUUCGAAAUCCGGCGUACUGUUCAUACAGUACCGAGGGUUCGAAUCCCUCCUUCUCCGCCA